CUCCGGGUGUGGGCUAAUACAAUACCCUUCUGAGAAAUAGGCCCGGCUGUCUUGCGGCAGUUUCUAGCACCCGGAGCUUUUUGU
rnacentral:ncRNA from 1 species